rnacentral:rRNA from 1 species
AACGAACGCUGGCGGCAUGCCUAACACAUGCAAGUCGAACGAACCCUUCGGGGUUAGUGGCGCACGGGUGCGUAACGCGUGGGAAUCUGCCCUUUGCUUCGGAAUAACAGUUAGAAAUGACUGCUAAUACCGGAUGAUGUCUUCGGACCAAAGAUUUAUCGGCAAGGGAUGAGCCCGCGUAGGAUUAGGUAGUUGGUGGGGUAAAGGCCUACCAAGCCGACGAUCCUUAGCUGGUCUGAGAGGAUGAUCAGCCACACUGGGACUGAGACACGGCUCAGACUCCUACGGGAGGCAGCAGUGGGGAAUAUUGGACAAUGGGCGCAAGCCUGAUCCAGCAAUGCCGCGUGAGUGAUGAAGGCCUUCGGGUCGUAAAGCUCUUUUACCAGGGAUGAUAAUGACAGUACCUGGAGAAUAAGCUCCGGCUAACUCCGUGCCAGCCGCCGCGGUAAUAC